rnacentral:lncRNA from 1 species
AUGCUGUUGGGGAUGGGGACCACAUGUCAAGAAGUGCAUGGGCUUUUCAGCUGCAAACUCCCAAGGGCCAAAGACAGGGGCUUUUUAUCUCCAGAAGCUCAAGGACACAGCCGACCUCCCUUUUCUCUUUUUUUCUUUUUGCAGUCCCACUCUAGAUGUCAUGGAGAGGCUGAGAUGGCCAUGAGAUGGAUAUUAGAUCAGAGGACUCAGAAGUACUCAAAUCUUUCCCAGCCUCCCAGCCCCUCAGAGAAAAAGAAGUCUAACAUACAGGCCAUUGGAGCCCUGUGUUGCUGCCAUGUCUUUUAGGGCCAGCGUGAAUGUCCUGCAAUGCCUGAUGGAGCAGCUCAAGCUGGAUGCCAGUGUGGAGAGUAUCAAGGCCUCACAGGCACCUGCAGAGCUUCAACAGUACUGCACGUAAAAUGCCUGCAAGGAUGCCCUGCUGGUUAGGUGUUCCAGCUGAAAGCAACACUUUCUGGGAGCUCAGAUCCUGUGCUUUAUUCUAAAGGCUGGGAAGAAGUUUCCUGAGGAAUGCUUUUAAGCAUAAAGUGAUGGAUGACUGCUUCUAAGUCUCAAGAAAACACUUUUUUCCAGCCAAAUGACUCUUAGAUAUUUCGGGCCUGUCCUGUGGCCUGGCCCUAUAGCCAAAAUUCUACAGAAAUUGAUGAGUUUCUACUCGGAUAAGAGAACUGAGUGAAAGAAUGGACUUUAGAUAAUAAUGGCCUGAUUCUUUUGGUAAAGUGCUUCUAUAUUUAAGACAAACAAAAAUGUUACCACCAAAUAUACUUUUUUCAUGAGCAAAUUACUAGUGUUUCUAUAUCUGGAAUAUCAUGUUUGUUUUAUUGACUAGAUGUUUACAGUUUGGGAAGGAAAACAUUUUUGUUAAAAAAUUUGUAUUUUGUUAAUUUGUUGUUCCUAAGAUUUUUAUACCAUAACAAAACUUGUUAUUUUCUCAUGAAUUUAACAGUUUCUAAAUGAAGACAAGCAAGUAUAAAACUGGGAGAAGAAUAAGUUUUAUUGAUCAAAUGAUGUCUUGAUUUUUCUAAAUGAGAAGAUUAUUUUAUUUGUAACACUAAACAUGGGAGCUGUUUCUUAGCAAACAUAUUUGUAAAGAUUCGGUCUUUAUCUUAAGUUCCUCUACUUUAUUGUCGUGGUUGUAUCUUAAAAAAAGGUACAUCAUUUCAUGUCUUAAAAAAUGUUUACAUGUGAUCUUCUGAACAUUGCAAAUGAUUAAAAACAAAAUAAUGGAAAAUACUACAACCUAAAUUCUUAAUGUCACAAGUGUUUUACUUUGAUGAUGUGCUUUGAUUUAAUUUGGGACACUUAAAAAGAUUUUUUUAACGUUUUUAUUUUUGAGAGAGAGAGAGACAGAGAGAGAGAAAAAGCAUGACUGGGGGAGGGGAAGAGAGAGAGGGAGACACAGAAUCUGAAACAGGCUCCAAGCUCUGACCUGUCAGCACAGAGCCCAACACAGGGCUUGAACCCACUGCCAACCACGAGAUCAUGACCUGAGACGAAGUCAGACGCUCAACUGACUGAGCCAUCCAGGUGCCCCAAUUUGGGACACCUUUAAAAGAUACUUUGUUUUUGUAGUAAUCUUUAAUGAGCUUGGAAAUAAAAUUCUGCUUAAUUAAUCA